rnacentral:tRNA from 1 species
GGGCCCGUAGCUCAGUUGGGAGAGCACCGGCUUUGCACGCCGGGGGUCAGCGGUUCAAAUCCGCUCGGGUCCAC